rfam:Cavia porcellus supercont2_26 genomic scaffold, whole genome shotgun sequence.
GGGAAUUUAGCUCAGUGGCAUAAGCACCUGCCUUGCAAGCAGGUGGCCAUGAGUUCAAUCCCCG